UACGGGGGGGGGCAAGCGUUGUUCGGAAUUACUGGGCGUAAAGGGCUCGUAGGCGGCCAACUAAGUCAGACGUGAAAUCCCUCGGCUUAACCGGGGAACUGCGUCUGAUACUGGAUGGCUUGAGUUUGGGAGAGGGAUGCGGAAUUCCAGGUGUAGCGGUGAAAUGCGUAGAUAUCUGGAGGAACACCGGUGGCGAAGGCGGCAUCCUGGACCAACACUGACGCUGAGGAGCGAAAGCCAGGGGGGCAACAGGG
rnacentral:rRNA from 1 species